AGGAACUUGGUGACUCUGCCCUCUGCCCCAGGACUGCCCUCUCACAAGUCCAGCCGGCCCUACACUGUGUAUGAGCUGGAGCAGGUGCGACAGCACUGCAGGAGUGAGAGGAUCCCAGAAAUGGCCGAUUACUGUUACCUGUCCCGUAACUGUGGGGGCAGCCACACCCUCACCUACCCCAGCCGCCGCUACACCCGCCUUCAGCACAUCACCCAUCUGAUCCAGAGCGAAGAGGAGAGUCGGCCCGUGUCCACUGGACCGCCCACACAGGCAGCAGAGGUGGACAUCUUAGGUUUGGAUGGACAGGUCUACAAGGGCCGAAUGAGCAG
rnacentral:lncRNA from 1 species